rnacentral:rRNA from 1 species
AACAAACGCUGGCGGCGUGCCUAACACAUGCAAGUCGUACGAGAAAGUCGGCUUCGGCCGAUGAGUACAGUGGCGCACGGGUGAGUAGCGCGUGGGUAAUCUGCCCCUCGGUCAGGAAUAACCCGCCGAAAGGCGGGCUAAUACCCGAUAACACUGACGCCCUGCGGAGUGUCUUUCAAAGAAGGCCUCUGUUUACAAGCUUUCGCCGGAGGAUGAGCCCGCGUACCAUUAGCUAGUUGGCAGGGUAAUGGCCUACCAAGGUAACGAUGGUUAGCUGGUCUGAGAGGAUGGCCGGCCACACUGGAACUGAGACACGGUCCAGACUCCUACGGGAGGCAGCAGUGAGGAAUCUUGCGCAAUGGGGGAAACCCUGACGCAGCAACGCCGCGUGAGUGAGGAAGGCUUUCGGGUCGUAAAGCUCUGUCAGAUGGGAAGAAAUGGAUGGAAGCCAAUACCUUUCAUUCUUGACGGUACCAUCAGAGGAAGCACCGGCUAACUCCGUGCCAGCAGCCGCGGUAAGAC